GUAGUCAUAUGCUUGUCUCAAAGAUUAAGCCAUGCAUGUCUAAGUAUAAGCAAUCUAUACCGUGAAACUGCGAAUGGCUCAUUAAAUCAGUUAUCGUUUAUUUGAUAGUACCUUACUACUUGGAUAACCGUGGUAAUUCUAGAGCUAAUACAUGCUAAAAACCUCGACUUCGGAAGGGGUGUAUUUAUUAGAUAAAAAACCAAUGCCCUUCGGGGCUCCUUGGUGAUUCAUAAUAACUUAACGAAUCGCAUGGCCUUGUGCCGGCGAUGGUUCAUUCAAAUUUCUGCCCUAUCAACUUUCGAUGGUAUGGUCUUGGCUUACCAUGGUUUCAACGGGUAACGGGGAAUUAGGGUUCUAUUCCGGAGAGGGAGCCUGAGAAACGGCUACCACAUCCAAGGAAGGCAGCAGGCGCGCAAAUUACCCAAUCCCGACACGGGGAGGUAGUGACAAUAAAUACUGAUACAGGGCUCUUUUGGGUCUUGUAAUUGGAAUGAGUACAAUUUAAAUCCCUUAACGAGGAACAAUUGGAGGGCAAGUCUGGUGCCAGCAGCCGCGGUAAUUCCAGCUCCAAUAGCGUAUAUUAAAGUUGUUGCAGUUAAAAAGCUCGUAGUUGAACCUUGGGCCUGGCUGGCCGGUCCGCCUCACCGCGUGCACUGGUCCGGCCGGGUCUUUCCUUCUGAGGAGCCGCAUGCCCUUCACUGGGUGUGUCGGGGAAUCAGGACUUUUACUUUGAAAAAAUUAGAGUGUUCAAAGCAGGCCUAUGCUCGAAUACAUUAGCAUGGAAUAAUAGAAUAGGACGUGUGGUUCUAUUUUGUUGGUUUCUAGGACCGCCGUAAUGAUUAAUAGGGAUAGUCGGGGGUGUCAGUAUUCAAUUGUCAGAGGUGAAAUUCUUGGAUUUAUUGAAGACUAACUACUGCGAAAGCAUUCACCAAGGAUGUUUUCAUUAAUCAGUGAACGAAAGUUAGGGGAUCGAAGACGAUCAGAUACCGUCGUAGUCUUAACCAUAAACUAUGCCGACUAGGGAUCGGGCGAUGUUAUCUUUUUGACUCGCUCGGCACCUUACGAGAAAUCAAAGU
rnacentral:rRNA from 1 species